CUGAUGCAGACGUCACAGGCCUGGGCUGCGUCACUGAGUCCUGGGACUUGGUUCUGGAGGCCAAAGAAGCUGGUUGAAGAAAUCUUCCCCGCCACUGCCACCCACGCCGAGGCAUGCCCUCCACCACGGCCCGGCCGCAAGGCACCUCCACUGCCAGCCGCUUCCCACACGUGGGCCUCCAGCAGCUCCUGAGGCUCAUCCCAUCACAUUCCACCCCACCGCAGGGCCCUUCUCCACCUCUCCCACCUCUGCCUUUUGGUUCCAGCCUCCUCCUCCUGGG
rnacentral:lncRNA from 1 species